UACGGAGGGUGCGAGCGUUGUCCGGAAUCACUGGGCGUAAAGAGCGUGUAGGCGGCCAGGUAGGUCUGCUGUGAAAACUCGAGGCUCAACCUCGAGACGUCGGCGGAAACCAUCUGGCUAGAGUCCGGAAGAGGAGAGUGGAAUUCCUGGUGUAGCGGUGAAAUGCGCAGAUAUCAGGAGGAACACCAAUUGCGAAGGCAGCUCGCUGGAACGUUACUGACGCUGAGACGCGAAAGCGUGGGGAGCAAACAGG
rnacentral:rRNA from 1 species